GAAGGUAGAGCUUAGUGGUAGAGCACAUGCCUGGCGUUCACAAAGUGCUGGGUACAAUCCCCAGUACCUCCA
rnacentral:tRNA from 1 species